rnacentral:lncRNA from 1 species
UUACUUCACCCCUAACUCCCAACUUUAGCACUAUGCAAAAAGAAGAUUCACCAUCACAUCAAACUUGCGGUACAUGCAUGGAGUACUAAAUGUAGAUGAAAUUAAAAACUAAUUGCACAGUUUUGUUGUACUUUGCGAGACGAAUCUUUUGAGCCUAAUUAGUUAAUGUUUGGACAAUAAUUCACAAAUACAAACGAAACGCUACAGUGUGCUACAGU